GGCGCGUCCGGGGAAAAAUGGGGGGGGAUAGCGUUAUCCGGAAUUACUGGGCGUAAGGGGGGCGUAAGCGGGCUUUCAAGCCAGAAGUGAAAGGCUACGGCUCAACCGAAAAAAAGAUUUUGGAACUGUAGGACUUGAGUGCAGGAGAGGACAGCGGAAUUCCUAGUGUAGCGGUGAAAUGCGUAGAUAUUAGGAGGAACACCAGUAGCGAAGGCGGCUCUCUGGACUGUAACUGACGCUGAGGCACGAAAGCGUGGGGAGCAAACAGGAUUAGAUACCCUGGUAGUCGACGCCGUAAACUUUAUGAGUACUAGGUGUCGGGGGUUACCCCCCUUCGGUGCCGCAGCUAACGCAUUAAGUACUCCGCCUGGGAAGUACGCUCGCA
rnacentral:rRNA from 1 species